AAGAGCAAUGUAACGUUCUGCUCCUUUGAGUUUUGACGUACUAGAUGCCUAAAGCGGAUCUUUGCUUGGUAUCUGUGGAACCUUUCAUUGGAAAAGAUUAAACCACAUGUUUUGACCCCCAGGCUAACAAGUCUAGAUGCCGAGAUUUCACAUCUCAUGCGCUCAAAGUCUUUGACGCACCACAUCGACAAAAGCCUUCAAUGGCAAUCUGUGCAAAAAGUAAUGACCACAAAGUACUGUGGAAUGCACUCAUGGAGCGUUUCUCGAAACAUUCAUAUAACUCUACUUGUUGAGUUAUUAGUCAAGUGGAUUGCUUACCACCUUAAUUGACUACAUAUUGUCGAUGAUCUUUUGUGGCAUCAUGAUCCAUAAUCUUUAGCGGAUUCGAUCAUCAUCAAGUUCUCUAGGUCCUCCAAGUUGGUGUGGAUUACCAACGAGACUUGAUUUUGAUCAUACAAACAGGAAUUGUAUAUACGCUAAUGUGAUAAACUUAUUUGGCAUUAUCCCCUAAUGUGGGGACAACAAUAUGGGUCAUGGCAACGGCAGAAAACGUCGUGCCGAUGUCUAGAAAAGAGGGGGAGGUGUUGCCGGCUCUAAUAGCGACACUCCCGGUCUAGACACCAUUUUAUCAAAACUACUCACGUCAGCUCAUGAGAUUAAUGCAACCAUUGUGAAUCUUCGGAUCACUGGAUCAAGAUUGUCAAGCUCCUUUAAAUUGUGAAUGCAUACAAAAAGGUAUGGAAAAUCAAUAUGAGGACAAGGACGUCAUCUUCAUGAUCGCGAAUUUCAAAGAUUCGGAUCCUACUCUAGCUACCCAUGAUUUUGAUGUCAUCGGCUAGACAUUGAUUUUCGUUCCAAGUUAUAUGUACUAAGGCGUUGUAUCGACAUCCUUUGUCUAUUUGAGACCUCGAUGUACUCACAUUAGCAAUAAUGAAUGCUUUGAGAAUUUUUCGAAGUGAAACUAUUCUCCUCUUAUGGUUCAUAUUGAUUUACAAUCAAGAUGUACACUUACAUCGUCCUUAGAAACAUGGCAUAUUGUGCCGAUUUUGGUCCCUUCCUUUGAAGGUGACUCAUGGCACUGCAUCCUCAAGGAGGAUCACCCACGUGUUUCCGGUUAGUCUUCUACCCUAUAGCGGAUUUUCAUCAUCAAUUGUUCAACUAGGCUCAUCCA
rnacentral:lncRNA from 1 species